UGAGCAAUCUGCCCUUCUCAUCGGAAUAAGCGUUGGAAACGACGUCUAAUGCCGAAUACGACCUCCUUUCGCAUGAUCGGAGGUGGAAAGCUCCGGCGGAGAAGGAUGAGCUCGCGGCCUAUCAGCUAGUUGGUGUGGGUAAUGGCCCACAAGGCGACGACGGGUAGCCGGCCUGAGAGGGUGACCGGCCACACGUGGGACUGAGACACGGCCCAGACUCCUACGGGAGCA
rnacentral:rRNA from 1 species